rnacentral:lncRNA from 1 species
CCUUCAGUUAGAAUGUAGGACGACACAUGGCCUGAGGGACAGAGGCCGCAAGAAGAAACAAGGUAAAAUAGAGGACAUGGGUGCAGAAUUUAAAGCCCGGGAAAAAUAGCAAAUGUAAUGAGAGCUAUUAUUCCUGAUCAUUUACUAUGUGCCAACACAGUUCUAAGUAUGUUACAUGUAUUAUGUUAUUUCAACAUAUCAACAGUCUACAAUGUAGGUAUUUUUGUUAUAUCCAUUUUAGAGAUUAAAACACCAAUGCAUAAAGAAAGAAAAGUACUCAUGAUGGGGGUUGGACAGAGCUAGCAGUCUGGCUCUUGAAUCCUGAGUCAAACUCUGAAGUUUGGCACCAGAUCCUGCUUUCUUAACCACUAGACUACUAUCUAGAGCAGAAUCUGCAAUGUCAGAACUGUACUCAUAAUAAUAUUAGCAUGCUAUUUGCCUUUUUCAUUCUCAUAAGUAUACAGUGGAAUUUUUCACUGUAUAUUUAGAAGGUUGACAUAAUUCAGUGAACCAAUAUAUUCCCCAUAUCCAAUGCACAAUGUUACAAAAUCACACUUGAGUGAAAGAUGGAUUCAAAGUGCAAGAUAGACCAAUGGAUUUUAUUGAAACAAAGUACAAAAGUUCAUUGAUAAGAGUUGCAGAUUCCACACUGCAAUGAAUCUUUAAGAAUUUAGCAUGCAUUGAAUUUUGAUGUGAGAUUAAAGAAUAUCCACAAUUAAUUGAAACAGCUAUGGAAAUGCUCUUUUCAAUGUAUUUAAUUGUAUGAGGAUAUUUAAUUUUUUUAUGAAAAAUAUUCCCAGAUAUUAUGCUGCAUAGAGAUAACAGAAGAUUUUUAACUUGGAGUUUCUUCUUUGGCCUUUAAAAUACCUAAUGAUAAAGAUAAACAUAUUUUACUACUCUGUUUAUUCCAGGAGUACUUACUCUGAAAGUCUUGGAAAUAUAUAAAUCCUUCAUCCUUUGUGAUGAUAAAACAUAAUUUAUGCUGCAUUCUUUAAGGGUUAUACUUUAUUCCUGCCCUUUGCUAGAUUCCCUGUUAAUGGGCUGAUUGUGUGCUCCAGGUUCCUAUGUGGAAGCCCUAAAUUCCAGUAUCUCAGAAUGUGACUGCAUUUGAAGAUAGUGCCUUAAAAAAGGUGAUUAAUUUAAAAUGAAGCCAGUAGAGUGGGCUCUAAUCCAGUCCGACUGCUGAACUUAUAAGAAGAGAAAAUUUGGAUGCAGAGAUGAGGAGAGAGGCCUCAGAAGAAACCAAACCUGCCAAAUCCUUGAUCUUUGCUCCCAAUCUCACCCAUCACUGUAAGAAAAGAAAUUCUGUCACUUAAGCCACCCAGUCUGUGGUAUUUUCUUAUGGCAGCCCUAGCAAAUUAAUAUGCCAACCUAAAAUAUUUGAUUGAUAUAAAAUGUCUUAUUUUCUAAAGAAAAUUUGUGUGUGGUGGCGGGAGGGGUGCGGG